rnacentral:rRNA from 1 species
AAAUUGAAGAGUUUGAUCAUGGCUCAGAUUGAACGCUGGCGGCAGGCCUAACACAUGCAAGUCGAGCGGAAACGAGUUGUCUGAACCUUCGGG